CCCCAACUGACGCGCCCGCGGCGGGAAGGAGAGGGGGCCGCCGGUGCGAGGUAGGCGUCUUGAGAGGAAAUUGGCAGACGAGAUGAGUGAGGUCAGAGGACUUCAUUGGUGGUUGACUAGGGGAGGGGACUUUUGAUCAAAGGGGCUUUGUGAGGUGAGAAUUCCGGGGGCAGGUUCAGUGAAGGGGUUUACGGUCGGAAACAGUUGUACUGGGGUCCCAUGGGAAGAAGAGUCAGAGUUGGAGAAGGACAAGACGAUGUAGGAGGCAUGAGAGAGCAAGGGCUUUGGGAUGAAGACCGCCUCAGUCAGGGGGUUUGCUGUUACGUGAACUAGAAUAACAGGCAUUGCCGUGUGUUCUGAGGAUUGAGUAACACAAUGAAUAUAGUUAGCACAGUGCCUGGCACAUGGUAAUAUAAUACUCUUCAUGAGUUGCUGUCAUCAUCAGUAUUAAGAGAGGAGGCAGAAGAAAAAAAUGAGAAAGACUGGUGAGGGUAAGAUCAGGAGGCAUGGGAGAGAAAAGGUAGGCAAUGAAGUGACAUUACAACCUGGUAUUGAUGUUAUUCCCAAGAUGGAAGAUAGUUUGAGUUCAAGGGAAGUAGAUAAAAGAAGUCGCUAAGAGAGUCUUUUGGGGUUUUUUGUUUUUUUGAGAUGGAGUCUCGCUCUGUCACCCAGGCUGGAGUGCUGUGGUGGGAUCUCAGCUCACUGCAACCUCCACCUCCCAGGUUCAAGCAGUUCUUCAGCCUCAGCCUCCUGAGUAGCUAGAAUUACAGGUGCCCACCACCACGCCCGGCUAAUUUUUGUAUUUUUAGUAGAGACAGGGUUUCACCAUGUUGGCCAGGCUGGUCUUGAACUCCUGAACUCAGGUGAUCCACCAGCCUCGGCCUCCCAAAGUGCUGGGAUUACAGGCGUGAGCCACCACGCCUGGCCCAGUUAAGAGAGUCUUAACUCUCUUAACUCUCUUGUCACAAGGAAAAGAGACCUUGUGACACUGAAAUGACUCGGGGUGGUGGGGGAACAAGCCAGCCCUUUCCCUGAAGGAGGCCUCUAACCUCUCCUCUCAGGUCCUCAGCUAUUAACUGGAGGAAACAGCUGCUUUUUCAGUGCUUCUCAGCUACUCUGUUUGGCUGAGAGAUGAAGUAGGAAGAUUUGGACUUCUCUUAUUGAAAGGCCUAGAGAAGGUUUUGGUGUCCUUUUAAGAUGUCACAGAAAAUUUUUGUUUCAGGAUUGUAGGGAGCAGAUUCCUACUGUUCUUAAAGGACAGUAAUGCCUUUUGAGUCUGGUCUGAAGAACAUAACAGGUCUGUGAUCAGAAGUAGGUUGCAUCUCUCUCAACUUUAAUUUCCUUAGCUAUACCUGUAGGGAUGACUUAAGCCUAGGGGAGCUCCUAUAUUUGGGAAGCUUGUGCACAGGGAAGCCUUAAAUGAUGGUGCCUGCAGAUUGGAUCUAGUAGAAAUUAGGUCCUUGGGCAUGGAUGCUUGGGGAACCUCUCAGUGACCUCAGGUGAACUUGUUGCUCGUAGAGCCAAGAGGCGAAGUUAAUUCAGGCCUUCCUUUUGACCACUGCCCCCUCUUCCUAGGCCUUGGCCCCUCCACCAGAGGAAGGUGCUGCCACGUGUCUGCUCCUUCUGAACCUCCAGGUUUCUGCUACGUUGCCCCAUGGAGGACACACCCCCCUCACUCAGCUGCUCCGACUGUCAGCGCCACUUUCCCAGCCUCCCAGAGCUCUCUCGGCACCGAGAACUGCUCCAUCCAUCUCCCAACCAGGACAGUGAGGAGGCUGACAGCAUCCCUCGGCCCUACCGUUGUCAGCAGUGUGGGCGGGGCUACCGUCACCCCGGGAGCCUGGUUAACCAUCGUCGGACCCACGAGACUGGCCUUUUCCCCUGUACCACCUGUGGCAAGGACUUCUCCAAUCCCAUGGCUCUCAAGAGCCAUAUGAGGACACAUGCUCCUGAGGGCCGCCGCAGGCACAGGCCCCCACGCCCCAAGGAAGCCACUCCACACCUCCAGGGUGAGACGGUGUCCACUGACUCCUGGGGCCAAAGGCUUGGCUCUAGUGAAGGCUGGGAAAACCAGACAAAACAUACAGAAGAGACACCUGACUGUGAAUCUGUACCUGACCCCAGGGCAGCUUCGGGUACGUGGGAAGAUCUGCCCACCAGACAAAGAGAAGGCUUGGCAAGCCACCCAGGUCCUGAGGAUGGUGCAGACGGCUGGGGACCCUCCACUAACUCUGCCAGAGCCCCUCCUCUCCCCAUCCCAGCCAGCAGCCUUCUUAGCAACUUGGAACAGUAUCUGGCUGAAUCAGUAGUGAACUUCACAGGGGGCCAGGAGCCCACCCAGUCCCCUCCUGCUGAGGAGGAGCGGCGGUACAAAUGUAGUCAGUGUGGCAAGACCUACAAGCACGCCGGGAGCCUCACCAACCACCGCCAGAGCCACACGCUGGGCAUCUACCCCUGUGCCAUCUGUUUCAAGGAGUUCUCUAACCUCAUGGCUCUGAAGAACCACUCUCGACUGCAUGCCCAGUAUCGGCCUUACCACUGUCCCCACUGCCCCCGUGUCUUCCGGCUCCCCCGGGAGCUGCUGGAACACCAGCAGUCCCAUGAGGGUGAAAGGCAGGAGCCACACUGGGAGGAGAAAGGGAUGCCCACCACCAAUGGGCACACAGAUGAGAGCAGCCAGGACCAGCUCCCCAGUGCACGGAUGCUGAAUGGCUCUGCGGAGCUCAGCACCUCUGGGGAGCUGGAGGACAGUGGCCUGGAGGAAUACCGGCCUUUCCGCUGUGGGGACUGUGGCCGUACUUACCGCCAUGCUGGGAGCCUCAUCAACCAUCGAAAGAGCCACCAGACAGGUGUCUACCCCUGCUCACUCUGUUCUAAGCAGCUGUUCAAUGCGGCUGCCCUCAAAAACCAUGUGCGGGCUCAUCACAGGCCCAGGCAAGGAGUUGGGGAAAAUGGGCAGCCAUCAGUCCCACCAGCUCCCCUGCUGCUGGCUGAGACCACCCACAAAGAGGAAGAGGACCCCACCACCACCCUGGACCAUCGGCCCUAUAAGUGCAGUGAGUGUGGUCGUGCUUACCGCCACCGGGGGAGCCUGGUGAACCAUCGCCACAGCCAUCGGACUGGAGAGUACCAGUGCUCACUCUGUCCCCGCAAGUACCCCAAUCUCAUGGCCCUGCGCAACCACGUGCGGGUACAUUGCAAGGCUGCUCGCCGAAGUGCAGACAUCGGGGCUGAGGGUGCCCCCAGCCACCUCAAGGUAGAACUCCCGCCUGACCCAGUGGAGGCAGAGGCAGCCCCGCACACAGAUCAGGACCAUGUGUGCAAACAUGAAGAAGAGGCCACGGACAUCACCCCAGCAGCAGACAAGACAGCAGCACAUAUCUGUAGCAUCUGUGGGCUGCUCUUUGAAGACCCUGAGAGCCUUGAACGUCAUGGCCUGACUCAUGGGGCAGGGGAAAAGGAAAAUAGCAGAACAGAGACCACAAUGUCACCUCCUAGGGCCUUUGCCUGCCGAGACUGUGGAAAGAGCUAUCGCCACUCAGGCAGCCUUAUCAACCACAGGCAGACCCACCAGACAGGAGACUUCAGUUGUGGGGCCUGUGCCAAGCACUUCCACACCAUGGCUGCCAUGAAGAACCACUUGCGCCGGCACAGUCGGCGGCGGAGCAGGCGGCAUCGGAAGCGGGCUGGCGGUGCCAGCGGUGGGAGAGAAGCCAAACUCCUGGCAGCGGAGAGCUGGACCCGGGAGCUAGAAGACAAUGAAGGCCUGGAGUCUCCCCAAGACCCUUCAGGGGAAAGUCCUCAUGGGGCUGAAGGCAACCUGGAAAGUGAUGGGGACUGUUUGCAGGCUGAAUCUGAAGGGGACAAAUGUGGGCUUGAGAGGGAUGAGACCCAUUUCCAGGGUGAUAAAGAGAGUGGAGGCACUGGGGAAGGACUGAAAAGGAAGGAUGCCAGUUUACUUGACAACUUGGACAUCCCAGGUGAGGAAGGUGGUGGCACUCACUUCUGCGAUAGCCUCACUGGGGUGGAUGAAGACCAGAAGCCAGCCACUGGCCAACCCAACUCCUCUUCCCACUCUGCCAAUGCUGUCACUGGCUGGCAGGCUGGGGCCGCUCACACAUGCUCUGACUGUGGGCAUUCUUUCCCCCAUGCCACUGGCCUGCUGAGCCACAGGCCCUGCCACCCACCAGGCAUCUAUCAGUGCUCCCUCUGCCCGAAGGAGUUUGACUCUCUGCCUGCCCUCCGCAGCCACUUCCAGAACCAUAGGCCUGGGGAGGCGACCUCAGCACAGCCUUUCCUCUGCUGCCUCUGCGGCAUGAUCUUCCCUGGGCGGGCUGGCUACAGGCUUCACCGGCGCCAGGCCCACAGCUCCUCUGGCAUGACUGAGGGCUCAGAGGAGGAGGGGGAAGAGGAAGGAGUGGCAGAGGCAGCCCCUGCACGCAGUCCACCACUGCAGCUCUCGGAAGCAGAGCUGCUGAAUCAGCUGCAGCGGGAGGUGGAAGCGCUGGACAGUGCAGGGUAUGGUCACAUCUGUGGCUGCUGUGGUCAGACCUACGAUGACCUGGGGAGCCUGGAGCGUCACCACCAAAGUCAGAGUUCUGGGACUACUGCAGACAAGGCUCCCAGCCCCUUGGGAGUGGCAGGUGAUGCCAUGGAGAUGGUCGUGGACAGUGUCUUGGAGGACAUAGUGAAUUCUGUCUCUGGAGAGGGUGGAGAUGCCAAGUCUCAAGAGGGAGCAGGCACCCCCUUGGGAGACAGCCUCUGCAUCCAGGGUGGGGAAAGUUUGCUGGAGGCUCAGCCCCGCCCCUUCCGCUGCAACCAGUGUGGCAAGACCUAUCGCCAUGGGGGCAGCCUGGUGAACCACCGCAAGAUCCACCAGACUGGAGACUUUCUCUGCCCUGUCUGCUCCCGCUGCUACCCCAACCUGGCUGCCUACCGUAAUCAUCUGCGGAACCACCCUCGCUGCAAAGGCUCUGAGCCCCAGGUUGGGCCCAUCCCAGAGGCAGCAGGUAGCAGUGAGCCGCAGGUUGGGCCCAUCCCAGAAGGAGGCAGCAACAAGCCCCAGCACAUGGCAGAGGAGGGGCCGGGGCAAGCAGAAGUCGAGAAGCUCCAGGAAGAACUUAAAGUGGAGCCCCUGGAGGAAGUGGCCAGGGUGAAAGAAGAGGUGUGGGAGGAGACCACUGUGAAGGGGGAGGAGAUAGAGCCCAGGCUGGAGACCGCCGAGAAGGGCUGCCAGACUGAAGCCAGCUCUGAGCGGCCCUUCAGCUGCGAGUUGUGUGGCCGAUCCUACAAGCACGCCGGCAGCCUCAUCAACCACCGGCAGAGCCACCAGACCGGCCACUUUGGCUGUCAGGCCUGCUCCAAGGGCUUCUCAAACCUCAUGUCCCUCAAGAACCACCGGCGCAUCCAUGCAGAUCCCCGACGUUUCCGCUGCAGCGAGUGUGGGAAGGCCUUCCGCCUGCGGAAACAGCUGGCCAGCCACCAGCGGGUCCACAUGGAACGGCGUGGGGGUGGGGGCACCCGAAAGGCGACUCGGGAAGAUCGGCCCUUCCGCUGUGGGCAGUGCGGGCGGACCUAUCGCCACGCCGGCAGCCUCCUGAACCACCGGCGCAGCCACGAGACGGGCCAGUACAGCUGCCCCACCUGCCCCAAGACCUACUCCAACCGCAUGGCCCUGAAGGACCACCAGAGGCUGCACUCAGAGAAUCGGCGGCGACGGGCUGGACGGUCCAGGCGCACAGCUGUGCGUUGCGCCCUCUGUGGCCGCAGCUUCCCUGGCCGGGGAUCUUUGGAGCGGCACCUGCGGGAGCAUGAGGAGACAGAAAGGGAGCCAGCCAAUGGCCAGGGAGGCCUGGAUGGCACAGCGGCCAGUGAGGCGAACCUGGCUGGCAGCCAGGGACUAGAGACCCAAUUGGGUGGUGCUGAGCCAGUACCCCACUUGGAGGAUGGAGUCCCAAGGCCAGGGGAGCGCAGUCAGAGCCCCAUCAGGGCAGCAAGCUCAGAAGCCCCAGAGCCACUGUCCUGGGGUGCAGGGAAGGCAGGUGGGUGGCCGGUAGGUGGGGGACUGGGGAAUCAUAGUGGAGGCUGGGUUCCUCAGUUCCUAACUAGGUCAGAGGAGCCAGAGGACAGUGUCCACAGGAGUCCUUGCCACGCUAGUGACUGCCAGCUCAAUGGACCUAAUCUGAGUCACAUGGAUAGCUGGGACAACAGAGACAACAGCUCUCAGCUGCAGCCAGGGAGCCACUCCUCCUCUUGCAGCCAGUGUGGCAAGACUUACUGCCAGUCGGGCAGCCUCUUGAACCACAACACCCACAAGACAGACCGACACUAUUGCCUGCUCUGCUCCAAGGAGUUCUUAAAUCCUGUGGCCACAAAGAGCCACAGCCACAACCACAUAGACGCCCAGACCUUUGCCUGUCCUGACUGUGGCAAAGCCUUUGAGUCCCACCAGGAACUGGCCAGCCACCUGCAGGCUCAUGCCCGGGGCCACAGCCAGGUGCCAGCCCAGAUGGAGGAGGCCAGAGAUCCCAAAGCCGGGACUGGGGAGGACCAGGUGGUUCUCCCUGGUCAAGGGAAAGCCCGGGAGGCCCCAUCAGAAACCCCCAGAGACCCAGGAGAGAGUGUGGAGAGAGCCAGGGGAGGACAAGCGGUGACGUCCAUGGCGGCUGAGGACAAGGAGCGGCCCUUCCGCUGCACCCAGUGCGGGCGCUCCUACCGCCAUGCUGGCAGCCUGCUGAACCACCAGAAGGCCCACACCACAGGGUUAUACCCGUGCUCCCUCUGUCCCAAACUUCUCCCUAACCUGCUGUCUCUUAAGAACCACAGCAGGACCCACACGGACCCCAAGCGCCACUGCUGCAGCAUCUGUGGCAAGGCCUUUCGGACAGCUGCCCGGCUGGAGGGCCACGGGCGGGUCCAUGCACCCCGGGAGGGGCCUUUCACCUGCCCCCAUUGUCCCCGCCACUUCCGCCGCCGAAUCAGCUUCGUGCAGCACCAGCAGCAGCACCAGGAGGAGUGGACGGUGGCCGGCUCCGGUAGGGGGCAUGAAGGGUCCCAGGAGGAGGUGGGCACACAGUGGAGGGGGAAGUCCAGCCCCAAAGUGGGUGGGGGAGCAAGGAGUGAGAGGAGAGAGCCCCGGGGAUUCUAAGAGGUGGGCGGGGGCUUGGCUAUGGGGUGAGAGAAGUAGUUUGAGGAUGUGCUGAGCUGAGCACCCGCAGGUCAGGUAUAACAAAUAGGGUGGGUUGGGCAGCACGUGGGGGCGUGGUCAGGCCGAGGCUGCUACCUGGGCUCCUCCAUUACACUGUAGCCAGAAUGGAAUGGUCUUUCUGUUCAGGGGAAGGUCACUGGGUACCCCCUGGCUGCUGUGUCUGGAAACCCUCCUGAGUCAGCCAGUAAAGUAAUGACUUCCAGAGAAAAAGAGGAAGCCAUUGGUUUGGUCUAGGUUCCAUUCUUUCCUGGAGCAGGCCGGGUGCCAGGGAACAAGGGAUGGGGCAUGGGCUCCACGGCUUCCCUGCUGACUUGGCCACGGAAACUGGUUCACUGGUUGGCACCCUACUCCCUGUCCCUCUUUCCCUGCGCCUUGUCUCUGCUGCUCCUCUCCUUGGAAACUAGACCUCUGGUCCUUCCCUGUCAGUGUUGCUCCCAUCUCUUCUCUAACCUUUAUUCAGCCCCUUCUCCCUCUGCUGCCAACGGCCUUUUUAGGAUCCAACCAAACCACCCUUUCUACCUGCGCACCCUGCCACCCUCUGCACACCUUUAACUGGAGGACUGAGUCACAGAUAAUUGUUUCCUUGAAGUCCAGGCCCAGCUGCAGCAACAACAGUCAUUAGCCCGUGUCACAUCCCUGAUCAGAGGGCAUCUCCGUGGGGAAUCGCCUCCACCCAGCACUGCUGGAAGCCGCAGCUGCCAGGGAGUGGGGCGGCCGGUUCCCUCAGCAGGACCUGGGCUGGCCUCUCCACCUCCUCUAGUAGAGGCGGACCCAUUCCAUCUAGUGGCCACCGAGGGAGCCCCAGUGGCACCAGUGACGGGCAGAGGGGACUUGCCAUUGCCCCCUCCACCCACCCCCACGACCCCACUCCUGGAUCCUUCACCCCAGUGGCCUGCAGACCUCAGCUUCUCCCUCUGAACUUCAAGUCUCCAAAGAUCAGAAUCUGGGGGAGGGAGCGCGUGCAGGGAGGGGCUUGAUCUCCACAUUUUCUCAGGAGUAGUUUGGGCAUCCCCAUAUCUUCUCCUCUCCCCUUGUGAAGAGGACCCAGAUCUGGCUUCUUUCCCAAGGAGGGGGUGGGGUGUUCCUCGCGUCCCUGUCCUUGAAGGACCUCCUUCCCCCAGCCUCAUCACCGUGCUCUUCUCAGCGCCACCCUCAGCAGCCAGAUUGGAACACCAGGGAGAGGCGGAUGCAGAGCCCCACCGGUGGGAAAGUUGCCUGUGGAAGGGAGCCUUUUGCUACAAUUUGUAACUUAUUUUCUAAAGUCUAUUUUGUAACAAUUUAUUUAAGUUUAAAAAAAGGAAAACUGCUGCCCCCCAAAAAAAGAAAUUUUCAAAACAA